rnacentral:rRNA from 1 species
UACGAAGGGGGGCUAGCGUUGCUCGGAAUCACUGGGCGUAAAGCGCACGUAGGCGGAUCUUUAAGUCAGGGGUGAAAUCCCAAGGCUCAACCUUGGAACUGCCUUUGAUACUGGGGGAUCUCGAGUCCGGAAGAGGUGAGUGGAACUGCGAGUGUAGAGGUGAAAUUCGUAGAUAUUCGCAAGAACACCAGUGGCGAAGGCGGCUCACUGGUCCGGUACUGACGCUGAGGUGCGAAAGCGUGGGGAGCAAACAGG